CAUCUUUUUAAUGUUUGUGGGCCCCACGUUUUUGUCUGUUUGAUCUGAUAAUUAAGUUUUCUCGUGUGGUUUAGAGUUGGUUUGAUGAUUUAGCCGUCUGAUUUUGGUACACGCGUUCGUUUGUUUAUUUAGCCGGUAUAGGAAAGUCUGGUCACUUAACAAAACACUGCGUUUUGUGUUUGAGGGUUUCAUUGUUAUUUCUUCUACUCUUCAAUCUCGCCGUUUCAGCUAUAAGAUUUCUCUGCAAAUACAAUGUUUUUCCCUGUGAUCUCUUAAUCUUCCAUUUAGUUCAACGUAUUCCUCUUAGUUUCGCCAAUCAAUAUUUUUCUCAUUAAAUUCAAUAACGACCUUUCUGUUUCUUUCACGUUAAACCUAUAAAUUGGAGAGGGGAGUCGGAUGAACCUUCACCAUCACUCUCAGUUAAACUUCUUAAUCAAGCGCAGAAAUAUUAUUCGAUAAUGUCUUCUGAUGUUGUUGUUGCCCAAUCAGUCGUCGGUGCUUUCCGCCUCCGUAGAUCGUUGCUGCUCGGUUUCUCUAUUUUUGGGACCCGGAAAACAUCAAGAAAAAUGGUGAAUUCAUGGGGAUCACUCUACUUCUCAUCAGACCCAUGAUGAUGAUAUCCUGUUAAGGCUUGGAUCGUCGGUGUUCUCCAGAAAAUGGCUGCCCUUACGUUGCUUGCACCGGUUGCAGCAGGCGAUUGGACAAAUGCGAGACCUCUCUCUGGUACAUCAGGAAGGAAAGUUUCACCAAAAGUCACUGAGGUCAUCAGGUUCUCUGUCGAGUUGGCUAUUGACGAUAGCCGAUGACAGUGCUACGUUUGUGGUGUUCUAGACAGAGAUGACCAAACAAACCAACAAAGAAGCAACCAGACUGGCUCUUGGUGAGACUAAUGGUGGUGACGGGUUCAGAGCUACCAAGAUGCCUAGAAGAACUAGCUGUGGAAGCAAUGUAUGUUCCAAAUUCAUGUCACACCUCACACCUCACACCUCACACCUCACACCUCACACCUCACACCUCACAACCACACACCCAACCAUGUCUCUGCAAGCACUGAAGAUGUGGUCCUCAACACUCAUUCAGAGUUUGAUUAGACUAAGCUUUAAUUAAUUGAAGCUGGUUUUCUGUAAAGAGUCGGGCAGUAUCAACUAAGUAAUAAAAGCAUACACUUGCUCUUUUUUUUUAACAAAUCCCACACAUACUCUUUGUAGUUGCAUAAAGUGUAGAGAGAAACAAUUUAUACGACAACUAGAACAAGAAGAAACACUGUCUUUCAACUCUUUAAUUAUGUGUCGCCUUAUGGACCAAACGUUUAAGAUUUUUUUUCAU